rnacentral:tRNA from 7 species
GCGCCCGUAGCUCAGCUGGAUAGAGUAUCAGGCUUCGAACCUGAGUGCCGGGGGUUCGAAUCCCUCCGGGCGCGCCA